rnacentral:rRNA from 1 species
CGAAAGGGGGGCAACCCCCGAGUAGAGUGGCGAACGGGUGAGUAAUACAUCGGAACGUGUCCAGUAGCGGGGGAUAACCUCUCGAAAGAGAGGCUAAUACCGCAUACGACCUACGGGUGAAAGAGGGGGAUCGCAAGACCUCUCACUAUUGGAGCGGCCGAUGUCGGAUUAGCUAGUUGGCGGGGUAACGGCCCACCAAGGCGACGAUCCGUAGCUGGUCUGAGAGGACGACCAGCCACACUGGAACUGAGACACGGUCCAGACUCCUACGGGAGGCAGCAGUGGGGAAUUUUGGACAAUGGGCGCAAGCCUGAUCCAGCCAUGCCGCGUGAGUGAAGAAGGCCUUCGGGUUGUAAAGCUCUUUCGGCUGGGACGAAAAGGUCCGUGUUAACACCACGGAUCCAUGACGGUACCAGCAGAAGAAGCCCCGGCUAACUCCGUGCCAGCAGCCGCGGUAAUACGGAGGGGGCAAGCGUUGUUCGGAGUUACUGGGCGUAAAGGGCGCGUAGGCGGUGCAACAAGUCAGGCGUGAAAGCCCCGGGCUUAACCUGGGAAUUGCGCUUGAUACUGUUGCGCUAGAGAUCGGGAGAGGAUGGCGGAAUUCCCAGUGUAGAGGUGAAAUUCGUAGAUAUUGGGAAGAACACCGGUGGCGAAGGCGGCCAUCUGGACCGCAUCUGACGCUGAGGCGCGAAAGCGUGGGGAGCAAACAGG